UUUAAUAUAAAUAAAUAUUUUAAUAAAUUUAAAUUUUUUUUAAUAAAUUAAUUUAUAAUAAAUUUAAUAUUUAUAAUGAUUAUUAUUAUGAGAGUAAUAAUAGAAAAUUAAUUAUUAUUAUUAAUAAAAUUAAGUGCCAGCAAUUGCGGUUAAACUUAUAAUGAAAAUAAAUUAAAUUAAUUGAAUAAUUAGAUAGGAAAGAUUAGAUUUAUUUUGAAAAAAAUUAAGUUAAUAUAGUUUAAUAUUUUUAGUGAAAUAUAAUAUUUUUAAGGAUUAAUUUAGGAAAAAAUAUAAAAUUUAAAUAAAUUUUAAAAGAAAUUAGGAUUAGAUACCCUAUUAUUUUAAUGACAAUAAGAUUGAUUAAAUAAUAAAUGUAAAUCAUUAAAAAUAAAAAAUUUGGCGGUAAUUUAUAAAAUUAGAGGAACUUGUUGAUUAAUUUGAUAUUCCACGAAUGGAUUUACUUAGUGUUAAAUAAAAAUUUUUAUAUAUUGUUGUUGAAAUUAUUUUAAGAGAUUUAUAAUUAAUAAAUUAUGAUUUUAUAAUUUAAAUAAUCUAAAUUCAAAUCAAAAUGUAGAAUAAUUAAGAUUUAAAUGAGUUACAUUAAAGUAAAUUAUAUUAUUUAAAUAAAAUUUUGAUUAUUUUAUUAAAAAUGGAUUUAAUUGUAAAUUUAUAUAAAUUUAUAAAUUGAAUAUUAUUUAUAUUAUGUACAAAUUGCCCGUCAUUCUUGAAAUUUAAAAUUUUUAGAAAAGUCGAAACAAAGUAAAUAUACUGGAAGGUGUAUUUAGAUUUUA
rnacentral:ncRNA from 1 species